rnacentral:sRNA from 1 species
ACUAUAUCUUCCGGUAUCGCAAAGGCGACAAUCUGUUUGUCCGCUAUUGCUUUGGUAUGAUCCCAUGGGACAUGCGAUGCAGCUAUCCGAUCCUGGAUUUGGUGUGUAAUGUCCAGCAGGACAUUUUAUGCAAGAAGGAGUUCCUGGACUCGGUGUGUAAUGUCCAGCGGGACAUUCGGUGCAAACCUCAGAUCCUGAAAACGGUGCUUGGUAACCCGCAGGACAUUUCAUGCAAGAAUCGUAUGCUGAACUUGGUUUGUAAUACCCAGGGGGACAUUUGAUGCAAGAAUCGUAUCCUGAAGUUGGUGUAUAUGAUCCAGCGGAACAUUCCUUGCACGAAUCAUAUCCUUUUUUUGGUGUGUAAAAACCGACAGGACAGUCAAUGCAAAACUCGGAUCCAGGGUUUGGUGUGUAAUAUCCAGCGGGACAUUUAAUGCAGGAAUCGUAUUCAGGUUUAGGGGUGUAAGAUCCGGCGGAGCAUUCCUUGCACGAAUCAUAUCCUGCUCUAGGUGUGUAGUAUCCAGGUUUACAUUUACUACAAUUUAAAGAUGCUUCAAAUUCGCUAAAACUUCCUGCUGGACAAAGAGGACAACUAGUUUGUCCAGCCUCGCUUUGGUACGAUCCAGGGGGACACGCAGUGCAAGAGCUAUUGCAUCUUGGUUCCGGUGUGUAAUAUCCAGCAGGGCAUUCAAUGCAGGAGUCAUAUCCUGGAUCUGGUGAGCAAUAUCCAGCAGGGCAUUCAAUGCAGGAGUCAGAUCCCGGAACUGGUGAAAAAAAUCCCGCGGGACAUAAAAUACAGUAACGAUAUCCGGAACCAGGUGUGUGGGAUCCGACAGGACACGCAGUGCAGGAAUUGGAUCCUGGGAACCAUGAAAAAUAGCCAGCAGGACAUUCCAUGCAAUGAUCAUAUCCCGGACUAGGUGUGUAAGAUCCGGCAGGGCAUUCCUUGCAAAAUGAAGACUCUGUCUUUGGUGCGUAAUACCCAGGACGACAAGCGAGACAAUCGGCAUAUCCUGGACCAGGUGUGUAACUUCCAGCAGGGCAGUCGAUGCACGAAGCAUUUCCCGCCACAUCAUCGUAGGGCAAAUGUUGUCCUGCGGGACAUUCAAUACACGUGCUGCCGCCACCCCAAAAUGUACCGGAAAAACAUUCUGAAACACAAUUAGUAUAUAUCAUACCAAAUUGUUAUGAAUUUAAUUCACUAAUUAGAUAAAGGACUUUCUCAACAUCAU